AACACCAAAAAGCCUAUUAGCGAAUGCCAUCGUUCUCUAUUACCAUUCAUUGUCUUCUCCGCUUCGAAGCCAUUGUCAUCGAUCGGGUAUGUUCUCCCUCAGUUUGCAUUUGCUGUCGUUUACCAUUAAUGUUCUUCCUCAUUGUAGCUGAUCGUCCACAAAUUUGAAGCCAUCAUCGAGACAGGGUGCUGUAAUUGAACUUGAGGAGGUAAGAAACCAUAAUUAGCUGCCCAUCCCUCUUCCUUCGUCCAAAUUGCCCAGCCAUUUACUUAUGGGUCAGGUGAGUUUUUCUGCAAGAAGUUUUUGUUUGAAAUGACUUAGCUAGUUUAUUUGUGAUUGGACGUCGUUGAUCGGGGAAUAACUAAAGGCAUUGGCUUUAUUUCAACCUUAAUUGUUAAUUAGCCAUCUUGCAUCUGCAGUAAGAGGUAUUUAUCUGCAAGAAACAAUCAGAGACCGACUCACUCAUCUAGGGUUCAUAGCUGAAGAAUUACACAGAUUUGAUUUGAUCUCUUUCUCUUUCCUUAGUGCAGUGAGAUGAUGAUAAUUCUUGCAGAAAAUAAAUUGAUAAAUAUAAAAAAUAAUAAAAUAAAUUAUAUAAAAUUAUAUAAUUAAUUGUUACACUGUUUAUCCUAAUAAUUCCUUCUAUCUAACAUGAGAAGAAAAUGAUGUUAGAAAAAACAAGAAAAGCAAGUGUUGUGAGCUGUCCAAGAGAUAACUAUACAUCUCUUCUGUGCCUGUAUAAGUAUUUUCAUCUCUCUCUUUGUUUUUCUCUCAUUCACAUUUGAUGAAAGUCCAAGUCCUGUUAAAAAAGGCACUUUCUAAUCAAUUUCCUUCUUGUUUUUGGACCACUAUGUUGGGGAAGUCUACUAUUAAUCCAUCUUUGUCAUGAGUUCCAUUGAUAAUGAACGUUUCCUGAUCAAUCUCUUCUAUCCCAUUAGACUGCACUAUCGCCUUUUCUCUCUUUCUCUCUCCCUCUGUUCUAAUUUACCUUUUCUGCAGUGCCAUUGUUCUUUUUUUUCAAACCAGAGUAUUCUACUCUUCUUUCCCUUAACUGGUCUGUUUCAGCCUAGAAACCAUGACUACCGCCAUUGAAACAGCUGCUCUAUCAGCUUUUAUCGGCUUACUUUUUGGGAAGAUUGGAAACGUUGCCUUCUCUAAACUACCCAAGUUUCCUAGUGAAAAGGAAGUCUUCGCCAAUAUUAACGAGUGGAAGGAAACGUUGAUCCACAUCAUGCUGUGCUUGAAAAUGCACAGGAGAAGCAGCUGGCUAACCAGUCGGUGAAGACGUGGCUGGACGACCUCAGAGAUUUGGCUUAUGAUGUAGAGGAUAUUUUGGAUGAGUUUGUCACUAAAAUUUUGCAACGCCAACUGAAGAAAAAAUCUCGAUCUAGAUCAAGUAAAAUCCGGAAACUCUCUCUUGCUGUCAGCACAACCAUCAAUCCGCUAGCUGUCAUGUUCAAUUCAAAGAUGAUGUCC
rnacentral:misc_RNA from 1 species